CUUCAUCCUUAUGUUUUAUUUAUUAGCAGGAAUAAUAUCAGCUGCCCAGUCCUGGCUGCUGAGUAUGCUAUUUAACUGGAAGAGACAAUACAGAAAACUGUGAUGUUUUAGGAACUUAAUAUUAUCAACCACAUUCCUCCCCACCCCAAUUACUAUUAUAUUCUGGGACAUUAUAAUUUAGUGAGAUUCAUCGUGUCAUUUGUGCUAUCUCCCUCCUUGACUUGGUGGCUAUUCCCAGCAUUUCUUUAGAAUCUGUGGGACAGAUUUGCCAACUCUUGGCCAUUGUGAUAUCUGGGCUCAAGCCACAUCCCUGAGCACUAGAGGUUUGGAGGUCUUUUUUCUCCCCUUUUCUUCUCUCUCUUUCUCUCUCCUCCCCCACUCCCUCUCAUACAGUGGUGCACAUGCACAUCCUAAAAUCUUGUCAUAUGUGGCCCUUUGGGAUUGGAACAUUUAGUGAUUUUCUUAAUUAUCAUCCCUAGUCCCUCUUCCUGCUUAUAAAUGAGUGAAAAUAUUCCAAAAAGCCUUGAUAUUGGAGAAAAAGCAUGCCAAAAUGUAUCAUUCAGGGACUCAUAUGGGAAC
rnacentral:lncRNA from 1 species